CCAUAACUUCUUAGCAGAAGUUUCCUUCAUAUACGGGUAUUUCAACUCCUUAUCAAGGAACGAUCGAAUAGUGGCACAAGCAUGGAGAUUAAUUCGAGUCCACUGCUUGUCAUCAAUAUCUUCUGGUUUAUCCUCCAGAACCAUAUCCAACUCUUGUUGAUACAACACAUCCAUAACUUCACAUUGCCACAUACCAAAAUUAUUAGAGCCAUUGAAUUUAUCAACCUCUAACCUUGUAGUGGCAAUUGGAUGUCUAUUGGAUGUAGGUGCCGACGAAGACGAUGUCGAUUCCUUCUCCUUCAAAAUUUCAACUUUUUCUCCAGCCAUCAAAUCUGCCCGGCACUAUUCACUGCUACUGUAGCACAGCACUAUUCACGGGAGCACUGUAGCACCGACACUAUUCACGUGCACUAUUCACCCGUCACUGUAGCACCGACAGAUUUUUCACUCCCACGAAACCCCAGUCGAAAAACUGGAGCUCUGAUACCACUUGUUGUGCGGAAGCGUCAACCAACUGCGAGUGAAAAAUAAAUAACAACAGGCAGGAGAAAAAUUGAACAAAAUAAUCAACAAGAACAACACCAAGAUUUAUACUGGUUCGGCAAUUGCCUACAUCCAGUUUGGAGACGACGGAGUAUUCCACUAUAAUCAAUGAGAGAAUACAAUAGUGUUUACCACUCAAUUUCCCAAAGACCCAAAUACACCCAACCUCACACACUCACAAAGGAAGAGAAAACAAUGAUACAAAGCAAAGAACAACUAGAGAGAAUUUGUUUCUCUCUUUGGCAAAAUGCCUUUCUUGCUAUUUUUCUCUUCUACUCCACACUUGGUUUGAUCCUUAGUUUGGAUGCUUCAA
rnacentral:lncRNA from 1 species